rnacentral:lncRNA from 1 species
GGCCGGGCCCGCGGCGCGCGAGCCAGCGGCGGAGGAGAACGAAGAUGACAUUCAGUUCGUCGGCGAAGGACUGUCAAGACCAGUUCUUGAGUACAUUGACUUGGUUUGUGGUGGUAAUGAAGAGCCUCACAUCCACCACAGUGAUAAUUGAAUCGUAAUAAAAAACAUUCAUAGAUUUUUGUGACACUUGUUGACUAUAGAAUUUUAAAACUGAUAGAGGAUUUUUCAAGAAAGAGCAAAUCACACUGAAGUUACAGGUAUAAACUGAAAUUCAAGGUAAGUAGAUUAGUUGAAACUUUAUUUCUAAAAUUAUAUAAAGAAAUCAUUUAGAGAA